CGAGUUUGAUCCUGGCUCAGAACGAACGCUGGCGGCAUGCCUAACACAUGCAAGUCGAACGAGACCUUCGGGUCUAGUGGCGCACGGGUGCGUAACGCGUGGGAAUCUGCCCCUCGGUUCGGAAUAACACAGAGAAAUUUGUGCUAAUACCGGAUAAUGACUUCGGUCCAAAGAUUUAUCGCCGAGGGAUGAGCCCGCGUAAGAUUAGCUUGUUGGUGGGGUAAUGGCCUACCAAGGCGACGAUCUUUAGCUGGUCUGAGAGGAUGAUCAGCCACACUGGGACUGAGACACGGCCCAGACUCCUACGGGAGGCAGCAGUGGGGAAUAUUGGACAAUGGGCGAAAGCCUGAUCCAGCAAUGCCGCGUGAGUGAUGAAGGCCUUAGGGUUGUAAAGCUCUUUUACCAGGGAUGAUAAUGACAGUACCUGGAGAAUAAGCUCCGGCUAACUCCGUG
rnacentral:rRNA from 1 species